rnacentral:rRNA from 1 species
UAGUAUAUGCUUGUGUCAAAGAUUAAGCCAUGCAUGUGUAAGUAUAAAUGGAUUUUCUAGUGAAACUGCGAAUGGCUCAUUAAAUCAGUUAUAACGUGCUUGGGUGUAAUGUAUUAUUUGGAUACCCUCGCUAAUUGUGAGGCUAAUACAUGACCAAGUAUCUUUUUGGUUUACUCUGAGAAGAUACCACUUGAUAUUAUUAUAAAUUUAUUUAUAAUUAAAUCGAAUAGUAGUUUGCAGUGGCAACAUUGCAAGUUAUUUCUCGUGAAAGAUAUCAAUUUAUUUUUAUCAAUUUCUUUGUUGAAAUGAUAACCCAAUUUGAUUUCUGCCCUAUCAACUUUUGAUGGUAAGGUGGUGGCUUACCAUGGUGAUGACGGGUACCGGGGAGACACGCUCUAUGCCGGAGAGGGAGCUUGAGAUAUGGCUACCACUUCCAAGGAAGGCAGCAGGCGCGCAAAUUACCCAAUUCUAACAGCAAUUUAGAGAGGUAGUGACGCCAAAUAUCGAAAAAAGACCGUUAUUGGUAUUUUUAUUGAAAAGGAGUGAAUGUAAAAACAUUACUUUUUUAUUGGAGGACAAGUCUGGUGCCAGCACCCGCGGUAAUUCCAGCUCCAAUAGUGUAUAUUAAAGUUGUUGCGGUUAAAAAGCUCGUAGUUUAAUAUUUCUAAAUUUAUUUAGUUUCGUAUUUUUUAUUGAGCAAUUGAUAGAGAAUGUAAAAUUUGAAUUUAGAAUUUAUUUAGUUAAAAAUCUUUUAUUAUUUAAUUAUAAUAAAAUAAACAAGUUUGUAGUUUUUCUUUGAUUUAUCAAUUUAAAACUGCAAACAUUGGAUUUUUAACUUUUAUUACUUUGAACAAAAUAAAAUGUUUAAAAUAAACUUUUUAGUUUUGAAUAUCUUAGCAUGGGAUAAUAUGAAUAACAAAUCGUAUAUAUUUUGUUUUUGUUUGGUUUAAAAGAUAUAUGUACGAUGAGACAGUGGUUAAUAGGGGUAAUUGGGGUGAUUUAUAUUUAAUUGUUAGAGGUGAAAUUCUUGGAUUUCUGAAAGAUAAACUUGUGCGAAAGCAUUUCACAAAGAUGUUUUCAUUAAUCAAGAACGAAAGUUGGGGGAUCGAAGACGAUUAGAUACCGUCGUAGUCUCAACUAUAAACUAUAUCAACUAGAGAUUAAUAAUUGAAAUUUUUUAGUUUGCGGUGGCGACACUGCAAAUUAAACCUCCUUUAUUAGCAUCUUAUUAAGAAAUUAUAAGUGUUUGGAUUUCGGGGGGAGUAUGGUCGCAAGGCUGAAACUUAAAGGAAUUGACUGGAUAGAUAAACAAGUAGUGGAGCCUGCGGCUUAAUUUGACUCAACACGGGGAAACUUACCAGUGCCCGACGCGAGAAGGAUGGACAGAUUGAUAUUUUACAUUGGCUCUUUCUUGAUUUCGUGGGUGGUGGUGCAUGGCCGUUCUUAGUUGGUGGAGUGAUUUGUCUGGUUAAUUCCGAUAACGAACGAGAUCUUAACUUGUUAAUUAUUUUUAUAUUGGGUGACCAAUAAAAUAAAAAUACUUAAAAGGACUAUUAUUUGUGUUUUUAACUAAUGGAAGUUUGAGGCAAUAACAGGUCUGUGAUGCCCUUCGAUGUUCUGGGCCGCACGCGUGCUACAAUGAUAAGUUUAAUGAGUUUAUGUUUGUUUUCACUGCAAAGUGUUAAUAAGUAAAAUAUUGUACUGAAAAGUAUAAUUAAUCUUUGAAGACUUAUCGUGCUGGGGAUAGAUGAUUGUAAUUAUUGAUCUUGAACGAGGAAUUCCUAGUAAAUAAAAGUCAUCAGCUUUUGUUGAUCAUGUCCCUGUCAUUUGUACACACCGCCCGUCGCUCCUACCGAUUGAGUAGGUUGAUAAAAAGAGGGGACUUUCAAUUCUCUUUUGAGUUUUAAUAACCUUUUUAAAUCAUACUAUUUAGAGGAAGGAGAAGUCGUAACAAGGUUUCC